CUCCGCUCGAUGAACGAGUGUGUGUGUGGUUUGCUCUCCUGUAUUGGCGCGUUGGAAGAACUGCUCGUGUGUGUGAUUGCUGCUCUCGACAAUUUAGCGAUUAUUUCCGUGCUGAUGACCUGUUGAUCCGAAAACGCGGUGUGCGUGCAACUCCGCGGGGUUUCAGCUACCUAAUGUUCGCUCUUGUGUUCAUACUCGGCUGAGUUGCGAGUGUCCAUUUGUACAGAAUAUACUGCAUUGCAACCCACUUCUGCCUUUAGUGAGACUGUUACAUCCAGUCAUCAAAGUGAGUCAUAGCGCAAUGUUGGAAGCUACGUGAGUAUUUUGUUUGUCUUAAGGUGAAAUAUGGGGGUUUUAUGUGCAAUAAAAAUGUCAAUUGGUUUUAAUUACAGGUUUUAAAUCCUCUCGGAUUUAUCGGCCACCGUUUC